rnacentral:rRNA from 1 species
UACGGAGGGUGCAAGCGUUGUCCGGAUUUAUUGGGUUUAAAGGGUGCGUAGGCGGUUCUUUAAGUCCGGGGUGAAAGCCCGUUGCUCAACAACGGAACUGCCCUGGAAACUGGCGAACUUGAGUACAGACGAGGGUGGCGGAAUGGAUGGUGUAGCGGUGAAAUGCAUAGAUACCAUCCAGAACCCCGAUUGCGAAGGCAGCUGCCCUAGACCUG